CGGAAGACCAAGGGUUCCUGUCCAACGUUAAUCGGGGCAGGGUGAGUCGACCCCUAAGGCGAGGCCGAAAGGCGUAGUCGAUGGGAAACGGGUUAAUAUUCCCGUACUUGGUGUUACUGCGAAGGGGGGACGGAGAAGGCUAUGUUGGCCGGGCGACGGUUGUCCCGGUUUAAGCGUGUAGGUGUGUGUUCCAGGUAAAUCCGGUUCACUUUAACACUGAGGCGUGAUGACGAGGCACUACGGUGCUGAAGCAACAAAUGCCCUGCUUCCAGGAAAAGCCUCUAAGCAUCAGGUAACAUCAAAUCGUACCCCAAACCGACACAGGUGGUCAGGUAGAGAAUACCAAGGCGCUUGAGAGAACUCGGGUGAAGGAACUAGGCAAAAUGGUGCCGUAACUUCGGGAGAAGGCACGCUGACACGUAGGUGAAGUGAUUUACUCACGGAGCUGAAGUCAGUCGAAGAUACCAGCUGGCUGCAACUGUUUAUUAAAAACACAGCACUGUGCAAACACGAAAGUGGACGUAUACGGUGUGACGCCUGCCCGGUGCCGGAAGGUUAAUUGAUGGGGUCAGCGCAAGCG
rnacentral:rRNA from 1 species